rnacentral:rRNA from 1 species
GACGAACGCUGGCGGCGUGCCUAAUACAUGCAAGUAGGACGCAGUUGCGAACGGGUGAGUAAAGCGUAGGUAACUACCUAUUAGAGGGGGAUAAAUAUUGGAAACGAUAGCUAAUACCGCAUACUAGUAGAUGGACCUGCGUUGUGUUAGCUAGUAGGUAGGGUAAUGGCCUACCUAGGCAACGAUACAGAGCCGACCUGAUGGGGUGAUCGGCCACACUGGGACUGAGACACGGCCCAGACUCCUACGGGAGGCAGCAGGAGGGAAGCUUUGGCAAUGGAGGAAAGUCUGACCGAGCAACGCCGCGUGAGUGAAGAAGGUUUUCGGAUCGUAAAACUCUGUUGUUAAGGAAGCGGUACUUAACCAGAAAGGGACGGCUAACUACGUGCCAGCAGCCGCGGUAAUUC